rnacentral:rRNA from 1 species
AAAUUGAAGAGUUUGAUCAUGGCUCAGAUUGAACGCUGGCGGCAGGCCUAACACAUGCAAGUCGAACGGUAACAGAAAGCAGCUUGCUGCUUUGCUGACGAGUGGCGGACGGGUGAGUAAU